rnacentral:rRNA from 1 species
GACGAACGCUGGCGGCGUGCUUAACACAUGCAAGUCGAACGGAAAGGCCCUGCUUUUGUGGGGUGCUCGAGUGGCGAACGUGUGAGUAACACGUGAGUAACCUGCCCUUGACUUUGGGAUAACUUCAGGAAACUGGGGCUAAUACCGGAUAGGAUCUCCUGCUGCCUGGUGGGGGUUGGAAAUUUUCGGCGGUUGGGGAUGGACUCGCGGCUUAUCAGCUUGUUGGUGGGGUAGUUGCUUACCAAGGCUUUGACGGGUAGCCGGACUGAGAGGGUGACCGGACAAAUUGGGACUGAGAUACGGCACAGACUCCUACGGGAGGCAGCAGUGGGGAAUAGUGCACAAUGGGCGGAAGCCUGAUGCAGCAACGCCGCGUGCGGGAUGACGGCCUUCGGGUUGUAAACCGCUUUCGCCUGUGACGAAGCGUGAGUGACGGUAAUGGGUAAAGAAGCACCGGCUAACUACGUG